AUUGAACGCUGGCGGCAGGCCUAACACAUGCACGUCGAACGAGUGGCGGACGGGUGAGUAAUGUCUGGGAAACUGCCUGAUGGAGGGGGAUAACUACUGGAAACGGUAGCUAAUACCGCAUACCAUCGGAUGUGCCCAGAUGGGAUUAGCUAGUAGGUGGGGUAACGGCUCACCUAGGCGACGAUCCCUCGCUGGUCUGCGAGGAUGACCAGCCACACUGUAAGUGGGACACGGUCCAGACUCCGACGGGAGGCAGCAGUGGGGAAUAGUGCACAAUGGGCGGAAGCCUGAGGCAGCCAUGCCGCGUGUAUGAAGAAGGCCUUCGGGUUGUAAAGUACUUUCAGCGGGUAGGCGUUACUCGCAGAGGAAGCACCGGCUAACUCCGUGCCAGCAGCGGCGGUAAUAC
rnacentral:rRNA from 1 species